GUCGCACGAAGGUUUCGGCCUUAGUGGCGGACGGGUGAGUAACGCGUAGGUAUCUAUCCAUGGGUGGGGGAUAACACUGGGAAACUGGUGCUAAUACCGCAUGACACCUGAGGGUCAAAGGCGCGAGUCGCCUGUGGAGGAGCCUGCGUUUGAUUAGCUAGUUGGUGGGGUAAAGGCCUACCAAGGCGAUGAUCAAUAGCUGGUUUGAGAGGAUGAUCAGCCACACUGGGACUGAGACACGGCCCAGACUCCUACGGGAGGCAGCAGUGGGGAAUAUUGGACAAUGGGGGCAACCCUGAUCCAGCAAUGCCGCGUGUGUGAAGAAGGUCUUCGGAUUGUAAAGCACUUUCGACGGGGACGAUGAUGACGGUACCCGUAGAAGAAGCCCCGGCUAACUUCGUGCCAGCAGCCGCGGUAAUACGAAGGGGGCUAGCGUUGCUCGGAAUGACUGGGCGUAAAGGGCGUGUAGGCGGUUUGUACAGUCAGAUGUGAAAUCCCCGGGCUUAACCUGGGAGCUGCAUUUGAUACGUGCAGACUAGAGUGUGAGAGAGGGUUGUGGAAUUCCCAGUGUAGAGGUGAAAUUCGUAGAUAUUGGGAAGAACACCGGUGGCGAAGGCGGCAACCUGGCUCAUUACUGACGCUGAGGCGCGAAAGCGUGGGGAGCAAACAGG
rnacentral:rRNA from 1 species